GUAAGGCAUUGGAAGUACUUGUUAUGAUAUUAUAAAUUCAGAAAAAGGAAAUAUUAUUCUUUUAAACAUAACGGUUGUGUUCUUACGCAUAGUAACUUGGCUCGCACGAGCAAGUAAAACAUUUUUUUAAUCAAAGAUAUGGCAUUAAUUUACUAUUUUUAUGUAUGGAUUUCACAGGCCAAAGUUUCAUUUUUUUGUUUACCAAAUAUAAAGGGGGGAAGC
rnacentral:lncRNA from 1 species